rnacentral:rRNA from 1 species
AUUGAACGCUGGCGGCAGGCCUAACACAUGCAAGUCGGGCGAGAGGCGGACGGGUGAGUAAUGUAUGGGGAUCUGCCUGAUGGAGGGGGAUCACUACUGUAAACGGUAGCUACUACUGCAUAACUUCAGUUGAACCCAUAGGGGAUUAGCUAGUGGGUGGGGUAACGGCUCACCUAGGCGACGAUCCCUAGCUGGUCUGAGAGGAUGAUCAGCCACACUGGGACUGAGACACGGCCCAGACUCCUACGGGAGGCAGCAGUGGGGAAUAUUGCACAAUGGGCGCAAGCCUGAUGCAGCCAUGCCGCGUGCAUGAAGAAGGCCUUCGGGUUGUAAAGUACUUUCAGUCGGGAGGCGUUACCGACAGAAGAAGCACCGGCUAACUCCGUGCCAGCAGCCGCGGUAAUUC